AGGGUUUGAUCAUGGCUCAGAACGUACGCUGGCGGCACGCCUAAUACAUGCAAGUCGAACGAAGUAGCAAUACUUAGUGGCAGACGGGUGAGUAACAUGUAGGUAUCUGCCCUUUGGCCUGGAAUAACACGAGGAAACUUGUGCUAAUACCGGAUAAGUCUUUACGGAGAAAGCUUUAUGCACCAUUGGAUGAGCCUGCACUUGAUUAGUUUGUUGGUGGGGUAAUGUCCUACCAAGACGAUGAUCAAUAGCUGAUUUGAGAGGAUGAUCAGCCACAUUGGGACUGAGACACGGCCCAAACUCCUACGGGAGGCAGCAGUAGGGAAUCUUGCACAAUGGAGGAAACUCUGAUGCAGCGAUGCCGCGUGAGUGAAGAAGGCCUUUGGGUUGUAAAGCUCUUUCGUCGGGGAAGAAAAUGACUGUACCCGAAUAAGAAGGUCCGGCUAACUUCGUGCCAGCAGCCGCGGUAAUACGAAGGGACCUAGCGUAGUUCGGAAUUACUGGGCUUAAAGAGUUCGUAGGUGGUUAAAAAAGUUGGUGGUGAAAUCCCAGAGCUUAACUCUGGAACUGCCAUCAAAACUUUU
rnacentral:rRNA from 1 species